AUUAUGGCACCAGCCUUUGUGGAUCGCGAGGGAAAAGUGAUGUCUUCCUGAUGUUGUUUAGGGCGCAGAACAGCAUUACCACCCUCUCCAGGCCGACACCAAAACCACCAUGAGGAGGUGCACCAUAGCUACAAUGAUGACCCAUAUAUUGAAAUGAUACUCGCAUCAAUUCCACACUCUGUUGCACGUUUCGUCAAUAGCUCUGGUAAAUGUAUUCUUUGUGCUCCAGAUAUUAUUUCCUCUCCUAUCAUAUCACAAAAAUGAGUUACUGUAAGCUGGGUUGUCAUAACAAGGCAUGGUGUAGAAGGGACGCACAGCCAAAGGAUACCGAUAGAGGAUGAAAAAUUCUGUUCCAUACCUACAGACAAUCCGGCCUAGUUUUUUCUCAGCUUCAGUGUUGAGGUCACCCAUGGGUUCGAUUUCUAUAUUUACCUUCAGCAUUUGAAUUCCUUCUUCAUACGUGAGCUUCAAAGUUUUCUCUAAAUACUAGGUUCAAAUGGAUAUUGCCUGUUUAUUGUCUCUAGUUCUUUCUUGCAAUUUUCAUUCAAGUGUUUAAAUAUUGCUACAAACAAACCAUCUAUUAUGUCGCAAACCUCAAAAUAAUGUUCCUUAAUCUCCAUCUCAGCAUCAAGGCCAACAAACUCACACAGAUGCCUGUGAGUGUUUGAAUUCUCAGCUCUAAAAACAGGUCCAACCUCAAAUACACGUUCAAACCCACCACAAAUAGCCAUCUGCUUAUACAACUGAGGAGACUGUGCUAAACAUGCUGGCUGUCCAUUGUACUGUAGCUUGAAUACAGCUGCACCACCUUCGCUGGAUCCAGCAAUUAGCUUUGGGCUGUGAAUCCCAACAAAAUUUUUCGACAGAAAAUAUUCCCUGAAUUUGUUCUCAACUUGACAUUGAAUUCUGAAUAUUGCUUGAUUUGCAGGUGUCCGGAGAUCAAUAGCUCUAUAGUUCAAGCGAGUAUCUUGGCCCACACGAACUAGCUUCUCUCCAGCCUGAAACGGCAGCAGUGGUUAAUUUCUUAACCUCACUCCGUGAGGCAUCCUCAAGGUUGAUUGGAAGGGUGGGGAUCGCCCUAUUGAUGCAAUAGAUCUUCCUCACCUGAAUCUCCACCUGCCAGCACGUGGUGGCCUUGAGGGGCUCCUUGGGGAGGGAGACGACGCCCUCGACGUCGACGAUUGAUUCCUUGCUGAGGGAGGUGGCGAAGCGCACCAUCUGGGUGCUGACCCCUGCGUCGGCGCUGGCGACGAGCACGCACUGGACGGUGCUCAUGCUCUCGCGCAGCACAACGAAGGCCAUCUUCUUGCUGACGGGCCGGAUCGCCUGCGCGGCGCCGCGGAUGAGGACGGAGCGGCCGGCGGCGGCCUCGUCGAGGCCGCCGAUCUCGGUCCACACGCGGCCGGAGAUGGUCUUGGACUGGAUCUCCUCGACGGGGACGUCGCCGUAGUUGGCCGCGAAGGGGUCGUCGGCGUCGGCCUGCGGCUGCUGCUGCUGCUG
rnacentral:sRNA from 1 species